GACGAACGCUGGCGGCGUGCUUAACACAUGCAAGUCGAACGGAAAGGCCCUGCUUGCAGGGUACUCGAGUGGCGAACGGGUGAGUAACACGUGGGUGAUCUGCCCUGCACUUCGGGAUAAGCCGGGGAAACUGGGUCUAAUACCGGAUAGGAGCCAGUUUUAGUGUGAUGGUUGGAAAGUUUUUUCGGUGUAGGAUGAGCUCGCGGCCUAUCAGCUUGUUGGUGGGGUAAUGGCCUACCAAGGCGGCGACGGGUAGCCGGCCCGAGAGGGUGGACGGCCACAUUGGGACUGAGAGAGGGCCCAGACUCCUACGGGGGGGAGCAGUGGGGAAUAUUGCACAAUGGGCGCAAGCCUGAUGCAGCGACGCCGCGUGGGGGAUGACGGCCUUCGGGUUGUAAACUCCUUUCGCUAGGGACGAAGCUUUUUGUGACGGUACCUAGAUAAGAAGCACCGGCUAACUACGUG
rnacentral:rRNA from 1 species